rnacentral:tRNA from 1 species
GCCUUGAUAGUUUAAAUAAAAAUAUUAUAUUGUGGAUAUGAAGAUGCUUCAGUUUAAGGCA